GUACAUUCAGUUUUUAACUUGUGUUUUUUUUUCUUCACAAACAGAAGAACUCUUACAAUAGUAGACUUUCUAAAAUAAAUACUAUUAAAAUAGAGCUUCAAAAUAAAUAUUCUAUACAAAUGAAACAAUCAGCGUAUACAUUUCUUCUGUGGAGUGAAUCUUUAAAGAAAAAAAAAUGAAAAGAAAAUAUAUAUAUUAUAUAUAAAUUUAAACAAUGGUGGUUGUGAACAAAUUGCACAUUGGUUACUGACAAAAAGGCCUUUUCAGAAUGGAUUUUGUAUUGUAAAUGCAAAUAUAAUGAGUACACAAAAAGGCAACAAAGUAAAAAUGUUAUGAAGCUGGACACCAUUGUAAUCAAAACCAGCAACCAGGCUCAUUGUUUUCUAGAUUGUGCUUGGCGGAACUAUGCAGCAGCAAGUUUAGUAUAAUGGGCACCAUCCCAAAUUUAAAAUAAAGACUAGUACCAAGAGCAGUUUACUCCAAAGCCUGGGCUCUAGCUGCUUAGGAGGCUUGCUUAUGUUUUAUUGAAGAGAAAUUGUGAGUUUUUUGUGGGUAGUUUUUUCUAUUUAACUUGAGGUGGCAGCAUGGCUUAUACAGAGGAGGCAAGCAAACUUGCCUUCAUUGUACUAUUCAGUGAAAGGAGCCAACCCGUGAUUCAAUGCAAACACAUAUUUGAUUACCAACUAAAUGAAAUAAAGCUAUGUUUACGUUAAAACAACCAACAGAUUAUUAGCCACUAAAAAGGCUACCACACAAGUAACCCUUCCUCUUCUGUAGCAAACAAACAAGCAAAAAAAACAAAAAAAACAAAACAAAAAUAAAUAAAAAUCCCCACACCCCCCAACUUUUUUCUGGACUUUAGCUCAAAGUGUACACUCCCCACCCCACCCCCGAUUAUCGAUAAAAAAUAAAUUAAAAAAAGUUAUAAAUUCCGCCUUCUACACGAAUAAUAAAUUACAAUAGACCGAUCAUUGAUUACACUAUGUUGCCACUGACAUCCAACUCCAAAACAUAACUGUAUGUGUGCGUAUACGUGUAGAUAAGGACUGCAUUUUAGCAUUCAUUUUCAAUAAUUCCCAAUUGUUAUGGGACCCUGACCAGUUAUAUAAAUUUUUAGCUUAUUAUAUAUGUUCACAGAGCCUCCCCUCCAAAAACAGCAACAUAUAUUUUACACGUGAUUUUGGCACACUAACGUAUUUGUAAGACGAUUGUUAGGUGUAAUAACACUGGAUCCAAAUGUAUUUUGGACUUGAGUUGUUGAACUUCAAAUUAUUUCCAAAAGUAAAAUGCAGGAGUCAAGUCACUACACGUUGAGCUAUAAGGGGGUUUAACCACAGGCUUGUUAAAUUUAGGCUGAAAUAAGUAAGGUGGUGGGAGAUUUUCACUUGUUUUGCCUAAAAGUUGCAAGUAUGUCAUCUUAAUCACGUAGAUGAAUAAGCAGAAUGACAUUACGUUGGUCAAUAUUCACAAAGCUGAAAAUGCAUUGCAUACUUUGUUUUGGAAUUUUAUAGCAGUGAAUUUGGAGAGUCUGUAUUUAAAUAUACUUCAAUGAAUGGCUCCAUUGGUUAAUGUUUAAUAAUAAAAAAAAAAAAAAAAAAAAAAAAAAAAAAAAAGGGGAGAUUAUGGCUAACCAGGUUAAGGAACUGGGUCAUCAUCCUCUCCAAAUGAGUGAGUAUAUAAAAAUACAUAAGCUAUCCUCUGCAUAUCAAAACACUAAUAUUGUUAGACUGAAUGCAAGCAAUUAAAUGUCAACUUCGAAAUACCCACAUAAUGUCAUUGAAUACUUAGGUAAAAGAGUCAUUUUAUGGCAGAUAUCAGGUUGGCCAUUCCUAAAGGAAAAGUUUCAUUAAAGAAAAUAAAAAAUAAAAAUAAAAAAAAGGGGGCGUGGGAAAUGUAUUUGUACCUUCUUAAACCUUGGAGUAUCACAGGUGAAGUGGGUUACUCAUCCCCUCUGGUACUCAAAAG
rnacentral:lncRNA from 1 species